rnacentral:rRNA from 1 species
AUUAGCGGAUGACCUGUGGCUGGGGGUGAAAGGCCAAUCAAACCGGGAGAUAGCUGGUUCUCCCCGAAAGCUAUUUAGGUAGCGCCUCGUGAAUUCAUCUCCGGGGGUAGAGCACUGUUUCGGCUAGGGGGCCAUCCCGGCUUACCAACCCGAUGCAAACUGCGAAUACCGGAGAAUGUUAUCACGGGAGACACACGGCGGGUGCUAACGUCCGUCGUGAAGAGGGAAACAACCCAGACCGCCAGCUAAGGUCCCAAAGUCAUGGUUAAGUGGGAAACGAUGUGGGAAGGCCCAGACAGCCAGGAUGUUGGCUUAGAAGCAGCCAUCAUUUAAAGAAAGCGUAAUAGCUCACUGGUCGAGUCGGCCUGCGCGGAAGAUGUAACGGGGCUAAACCAUGCACCGAAGCUGCGGCAGCGACGCUCAGGCGUUGUUGGGUAGGGGAGCGUUCUGUAAGCCUGUGAAGGUGGCCUGUGAGGGUUGCUGGAGGUAUCAGAAGUGCGAAUGCUGACAUAAGUAACGAUAAAGCGGGUGAAAAGCCCGCUCGCCGGAAGACCAAGGGUUCCUGUCCAACGUUAAUCGGGGCAGGGUGAGUCGACCCCUAAGGCGAGGCCGAAAGGCGUAGUCGAUGGGAAACGGGUUAAUAUUCCCGUACUUGGUGUUACUGCGAAGGGGGGACGGAGAAGGCUAUGUUGGCCGGGCGACGGUUGUCCCGGUUUAAGCGUGUAGGUGUGUGUUCCAGGUAAAUCCGGUUCACUUUAACACUGAGGCGUGACGACGAGGCACUACGGUGCUGAAGCAACAAAUGCCCUGCUUCCAGGAAAAGCCUCUAAGCAUCAGGUAACAUCAAAUCGUACCCCAAACCGACACAGGUGGUCAGGUAGAGAAUACCAAGGCGCUUGAGAGAACUCGGGUGAAGGAACUAGGCAAAAUGGUGCCGUAACUUCGGGAGAAGGCACGCUGACACGUAGGUGAAGUGAUUUACUCAUGGAGCUGAAGUCAGUCGAAGAUACCAGCUGGCUGCAACUGUUUAUUAAAAACACAGCACUGUGCAAACACGAAAGUGGACGUAUACGGUGUGACGCCUGCCCGGUGCCGGAAGGUUAAUUGAUGGGGUCAGCGCAAGCGAAGCUCCUGAUCGAAGCCCCGGUAAACGGCGGCCGUAACUAUAACGGUCCUAAGGUAGCGAAAUUCCUUGUCGGGUAAGUUCCGACCUGCACGAAUGGCGUAAUGAUGGCCAGGCUGUCUCCACCCGAGACUCAGUGAAAUUGAACUCGCUGUGAAGAUGCAGUGUACCCGCGGCAAGACGGAAAGACCCCGUGAACCUUUACUAUAGCUUGACACUGAACAUUGAGCCUUGAUGUGUAGGAUAGGUGGGAGGCUUUGAAGCGUGGACGCCAGUCUGCGUGGAGCCGACCUUGAAAUACCACCCUUUAAUGUUUGAUGUUCUAACGUGGACCCGUUACCCGGGUUGCGGACAGUGUCUGGUGGGUAGUUUGACUGGGGCGGUCUCCUCCUAAAGAGUAACGGAGGAGCACGAAGGUUGGCUAAUCCUGGUCGGACAUCAGGAGGUUAGUGCAAUGGCAUAAGCCAGCUUGACUGCGAGCGUGACGGCGCGAGCAGGUGCGAAAGCAGGUCAUAGUGAUCCGGUGGUUCUGAAUGGAAGGGCCAUCGCUCAACGGAUAAAAGGUACUCCGGGGAUAACAGGCUGAUACCGCCCAAGAGUUCAUAUCGACGGCGGUGUUUGGCACCUCGAUGUCGGCUCAUCACAUCCUGGGGCUGAAGUAGGUCCCAAGGGUAUGGCUGUUCGCCAUUUAAAGUGGUACGCGAGCUGGGUUUAGAACGUCGUGAGACAGUUCGGUCCCUAUCUGCCGUGGGCGCUGGAGAACUGAGGGGGGCUGCUCCUAGUACGAGAGGACCGGAGUGGACGCAUCACUGGUGUUCGGGUUGUCAUGCCAAUGGCACUGCCCGGUAGCUAAAUGCGGAAGAGAUAAGUGCUGAAAGCAUCUAAGCACGAAACUUGCCCCGA